AAACCGCCUAGAGGUAAACGGGUGGAUCCGCAAAGUCGGCCCGCGGAAUUCAGCUCGGAAGGCCGGCGCGAGCGGCGGGCAAGAGAUCUGAUGGGACUCUCCCGUCGUUCGACCGCUGGUCGGCCGUGUGCACUUUCCGCGGGCAGAGCGCCACGACCGGUUCCCGGGCGGUCAGAAGGCGGCGAGGAAGGUAGGUGGUUGCUCCGGCGGCCACUGUUACAGCCUCGCCUGUCCCGAUCCGCCGGGGGACCGAGGAGCCGCCGUCGGUCGCGGCCACUCCGCUCUCUCGGGGAGUUCGACUGGCAGAGACUGGGCAACCGUGUCUGCCGACCGCUCUUUGGGAUGGUCGGAGCGGGCCUGGCCGGCACAGGGUCGGUGGCGAAUCGGUCGGCCCUCCACCCGACCCGUCUUGAAACACGGACCAAGGAGUCUAACAUGCGCGCGAGUCGUUGGGUAGUACGAAACCCGAAGGCGAAGUGAAAGCGAGGGCGCGCCUCUGGUGCGCUCAGGUGGGAUCCCGCUCCUCACGGGGAGUGGGCGCACCGCCGGCCCGUCCCGUCCGCGCUGUCGGUGAGGCGGAGCAAGAGCGUGCACGUUGGGACCCGAAAGAUGGUGAACUAUGCCUGAGUAGGAUGAAGCCAGAGGAAACUCUGGUGGAGGUCCGCAGCGAUUCUGACGUGCAAAUCGAUCGUCAAACUUGGGUAUAGGGGCGAAAGACUAAUCGAACCAUCUAGUAGCUGGUUCCCUC
rnacentral:rRNA from 1 species